GCCACGGUGGCGGAGUGGUUAACGCGACGGAUUGCUAAUCCGUGCCCUUUUGGGCGCCAAGGUUCGAAUCCUUGCCGUGGCG
rnacentral:tRNA from 1 species